rnacentral:rRNA from 1 species
GACGAACGCUGACGGUGUGCUUUAGACAUGCAAGUCGAACGAGAAAGCCCUUCGGGGUGAGUAGGGUGGCGAACGGGUGAGUAACACGUGGGUAACCUGCCCCUCGCAGAGGGAUAACCGGGGGAAACCCCGGCUAAUACCUCGUACGCUUGCCGGGUCGCAUGGCUUGGCAAGGAAAGGUAGCUUCGGCCAUCCGGCGAGGGAUGGGCCCGCGGUCCAUUAGCUAGUUGGUGAGGUAACGGCCCACCAAGGCGACGAUGGAUAGCUGGUCUGAAAGGAUGAUCAGCCACACUGGGACUGAGACACGGCCCAGACUCCUACGGGAGGCAGCAGUCGGGAAUCUUGCGCAAUGGGCGAAAGCCUGACGCAGCAACACCGUGUGGGCGACGAAGGCCUUCGGGUUGUAAACUGCUUUUGUACGGAACGAAAAGCCCUGGGUUAAUACCCUGGGGUCAUGACGGUACCGUAAGAAUAAGCACCGGCUAACUACGUGCCAGCAGCCGCCGUAAGAC